UGAAUACGAGAUGCUACGGCGUCGAAGCAGUGUAUGUCAGACUUCCAAGAAAAGCUCGCAAUGUCAUAAAUAAAGAAUGCCUGUACCAUAACCGACACAGGUGGGUAGGUAGAGUAUACUAAGGGGCGCGAGAUAACUCUCUCUAAGGAACUCGGCAAAAUAACUCCGUAACUUCGGGAGAAGGAGUGCCUUCUAUUAGAAGGUUGCAAUAACAAGAUCCAAGCAACUGCUUAUCAAAAACACAGGUCUCCGCUAAGUCGUAAGACGAUGUAUGGGGCUGACGCCUGCCCAGUGCCAGAAGGUUAAAGAAGUUGGUUAGCUUUGGCGAAGCUGAUGACUGAAGCCCUGGUGAACGGCGGCCGUAACGAUAACGGUCCUAAGGUAGCGAAAUUCCUUGUCGGGUAAGUUCCGACCCGCACGAAAGGCGUAAUGAUUUGGAUACUGUCUCGGAGAGGGACUCGGUGAAAUAGACUUGUCUGUGAAGAUGCGGACUACCUGCACCAGGACAGAAAGACCCUAUGAAGCUUUACUGUAACUUGAAAUUGAAAUUGGACUUUAUUUGCGCAGCAUAGGUGGAAGGCGUUGAGAUUACUCUUGCGGGAGUACUGGAGCCAUCAGUGAGAUACCACUCCUAUAAUGUUAGAUUUCUAACUUUGGAUCAUGAUCUGGUCAAAGAACAGUUUCAGGCGGGCAGUUUGACUGGGGCGGUCGCCUCCCAAAUGGUAACGGAGGCGUACAAAGGUUUCCUCUGAACGGGUAGAAAUCGUAUCUAGAGUGUAAAGGCAUAAGGAAGCUUGACUGUGAAACCUACAAGUCGAGCAGGGACGAAAGUCGGUCUUAGUGAUCUGACGGUGCUGAGUGGAAAGGCCGUCACUCAACGGAUAAAAGUUACUCUAAGGAUAACAGGCUGAUCUCCCCCAAGAGUUCACAUCGACGGGGAGGUUUGGCACCUCGAUGUCGGCUCAUCGCAUCCUGGGGCGGUAGUACGUCCCAAGGGUUGGGCUGUUCGCCCAUGAAAGCGGUACGCGAGCUGGGUUCAGAACGUCGUGAGACAGUUCGGUCCAUAUCCGGUGUAGGCGUUAGAAUAUUGAGAGGAGCCUUCUUUAGUACGAGAGGACCGAGAAGGACAUACCUCUGGUGUACCAGUUAUCGUGCCAACGGUAAACGCUGGGUAGCUAUGUAUGGAGAGGAUAACCGCUGAAAGCAUCUAAGUGGGAAGCCCACCUCAAGAUGAGUAUUCUCAUC
rnacentral:rRNA from 1 species